AUUGUUGAUGACUGGUUAAGUCUUGUGAAAAUUAAGUUUCGUGAAGAACCUGGUUGUUGUAUUGCUGUUCAUUGCGUUGCAGGCCUUGGGAGGCUCCAGUACUUGUUGCCCUAGCAUUAAUUGAAGGUGGAAUGAAAUACGAAGAUGCAGUACAAUUCAUAAGACAAAGCGGCGUGGAGCUUUUAACAGCAAGCAACUUCUGUAUUUGGAGAAGUAUCGUCCUAAAAUGCGGCUGCGUUUCAAAGAUUCC
rnacentral:lncRNA from 1 species